CCCUUAGAUGUUCUGGGCCGCACACGCGCUACACUGAAGGAGGCAGCGUGUACUCCUGGAUCGAAAGAUUUGGGUAACCCGCGAAUCUCCUUCGUGCUAGGGAUUAAGGUUUGCAAUUAUCCUUCAUGAACGAGGAAUUCCCAGUAAGUGCAAGUCAUAAGCUUGCGCUGACUACGUCCCUGCCCUUUGUACACACCGCCCGUCGCUACUACCGAUUGAAUGAUUUAGUGAGGACUUCGGACUGGGACCGAUGCGGCUUUCGGGCUGCGUCGGUAUUCUGGAAAGAUGUCCAAACUGUAUCAUUUAGAGGAAGUAAAAGUCGUAACA
rnacentral:rRNA from 1 species